rnacentral:rRNA from 1 species
GCCGCAAUAUUACUUACUACUUAUAUUUUGCUCAUCAAUCCGAUUUGCAUAAAUAUUAUAGUCACCUAAUACAUUAUAAAAAUUUAAAUUUUUAUCUUUACAUAGUGAAAGAACCGUCUAAAUUUUUGAGUAACGAUGAGUGAAAAAUAUGUUAAUGUCAUAAAUAACAAGUACUGCAAAGGAAAUAACUUUAAAACUAACAGAUAGUAGGAAUUACAUCCCGUACCUUUUGUAUCAUGGUUCUUUUAAAUAAAUGUUUUGCAUAAAAUAGUCCCGAAAAGAGUUGAGCUAUCUCAAAGCUUGCGUCAGCGUAGCAAAGCUGUGCUAAGAUUCUAAGAUAGGGGUGAAACGCCUACCGAAACUUUAAAUAGCUGGUUAGCUAAGAAAUGUAUCAAAGUACAGACCUGUUAUUAUAUGCUACAAAUCAUCUUCCCACUUAAAAGUAAGUCCAGUAACGUAUAUAUGUAUGCCAACUUGACUAAAAUUAAGUAGAUGAUAUUAAUAGGAUCGAGAUAGAAAAGGAUAAGCUUUUUUAUCUAUUUAAGAGAAUAAGCUAAAAAUUACAUUAUAUACAGUGGGCUUAGAGUUAGCCAUCUAAAUACAUAAAUUUGUUAUAAAUUAUCAUAUAAAUAAUAAAUACCUUGUAUCAAUAAAAAUUUUAAAAUAAUUUUUAUACUCUAAAUUUUAAUAUUAGCUUGAUUUACUAAAUUAACUAAGUUAGUCUAUCCCUGAAGAAAUGAGUAUCUAAGAUUCAUAAUUAAAUUAAGUCGUUAUAGCUAGCCCACAAAGUCAUAAAAGAAUAAUUCAACGAUCAAAUAGUAAAAUAUAACUACCACUAAUUACUGCCUAAUUAAUAAGAAUCAGAAAUAAUUUUCGAGAAGGAACUCGGCAAAUAUUAUGGCCCCGCCUGUUUAUCAAAAACAUCGCUCUCUGGAACACUUAACAUAAUACAUAGGGAGUCAAGCCUGCCCAGUGACUGACUACGUCAGUUAAACGGCCGCGGUACUCUGACCGUGCAAAGGUAGCAUAAUCAUUUGUUUUUUAACUGAAGACUGGUAUGAACGGUUAAACGAGGGCCAUGCUGUCUCCUCUUAAAUAUAUAAAAAUUAACUUUUACGUGAAGAGGCCUAAAUAGAAUUAAGGGACAAGAAGACCCUAUUGAGCUUAAGUGAAAUAACAGAUUAAAACAAAAUUUUUAACCAACAAACCUGAAAUUAAAUUCUGUUAGAUAAUCUUUAGUUGGGGCGACUGAGGAAUAAUGAAAACUUCCUUAACCUUAUUAUUACCUAGUAAUAUUCCUAAACCUAUUACCGUUUUGCUAUCAAGCUAAUUUAGAUCCAGCUAUAAUACUGAUCAAUGGAAAAAGUUACCAUAGGGAUAACAGCGUAAUCUUUCUGAAGAGCUCGCAUCAAAAGAAGGGUUUACGACCUCGAUGUUGGACUAAGAUAACUUUAAGGUGCAGAAGCUUUAAAUAGUUGGUCUGUUCGACCAUUAAAAUCUUACAUGAUCUGAGUUCAGACCGGCGUGAGCCAGGUUGGUUUCUAUCUUUAAUUCAUUAUUAAUACUCUUUCAGCUAGUACGAAAGGACCGCUGGCAAAGUAAAAAAUUUAUUAUACAAGAAAAAAUACAAAAAUUAAAUAAAUAUUACCAAUAAAAUUAAUAAAUAUCCACUCAACCAA